rnacentral:rRNA from 1 species
CCUACGGGAGGCAGCAGUGGGGGAUAUUGCACAAUGGGGGGAACCCUGAUGCAGCGACGCCGCGUGGGUGAAGAAGCGCCUCGGCGCGUAAAGCCCUGUCAGCAGGGAAGAAAAUGACGGUACCUGAAGAAGAAGCCCCGGCUAAAUACGUGCCAGCAGCCGCGGUAAUACGUAGGGGGCAAGCGUUAUCCGGAUUUACUGGGUGGAAAGGGGGCGCAGACGGCGAUGCAAGCCAGUAGUGAAAGCCCGGGGCCCAACCCCGGGACUGCUCUUGGAACUGCGUGGCUGGAGUGCAGGAGGGGCAGGCGGAAUUCCUGGUGUAGCGGUGAAAUGCGUAGAUAUCAGGAGGAACACCGGUGGCGAAGGCGGCCUGCUGGACUGCAACUGACGUUGAGGCCCGAAAGCGUGGGGAGCAAACAGGAUUAGAUACCCCAGUAGUC